rnacentral:rRNA from 1 species
GAUGAACGCUAGCGGAAGGCUUAAUACAUGCAAGUCGAGCGGUAGGUGGCUUCGGCCAUUGAGAGCGGCGCACGGGUGAGUAACGCGUACAUGACCUGCCUGUCAGAAGGGGAUAGCCCUGGGAAACUGGGAUUAAUACCCUAUGGUAUUGAUAUUAUGAAUGAUAUCAAUUAAAGUUGAGGCGCUGACAGAUGGAUGUGCGUCUGAUUAGCUAGUUGGUAGGGUAACGGCCUACCAAGGCGACGAUCAGUAGGGGGCGUGAGAGCGUGGUCCCCCACACGGGUACUGAGACACGGACCCGACUCCUACGGGAGGCAGCAGUAAGGAUAUUGGUCAAUGCCCGCAAGGGUGAACCAGCCAUUCCGCGUGGAGGAUGAAGGCCCUAUGGGUUGUAAACUUCUUUUAGAUGGGAAGAAAAUGCUAGAUGUAUCUGGUACUGACGGUACCAUCAGAAUAAGCACCGGCUAAACUCCGUGCCAGCAGCCGCGGU